rnacentral:rRNA from 1 species
GAUGAACGCUGGCGGCGUGGAUAAGGCAUGCAAGUCGAGCGGGUUUAGACCCGCGGCAAACGAGGUAGUAACACGUAGGUACCUACCCUUAAGACGGGGAUAUUCCAUCGAAAGAUGGCGCAAUACCCGAUAGUCCCUCCGGGGUAAAGAUUUAUCGCUUAAGGAAGGGCCUGCGGGCUAUCAGCUAGUUGGUAAGGUAAUGGCUUACCAAGGCUAUGACGGCUAGGGGAGGUGAGAGCCUGACCCCCACCGAUGGGACUGCGACACGGCCCAGACUCCUACGGGAGGCAGCAGUGGGGAAUAUUGGACAAUGGGCGCAAGCCUGAUCCAGCCAUGCCGCGUGAGUGACGAAGGUCUUCGGAUUGUAAAGCUCUUUUGGCGGGGAAGAUAAUGACGGUACCCGCAGAAUAAGCCCCGGCUAACUUCGUGCCAGCCGCCGCAGUAA